GUCUACGGCCAUACCACCCUGAACGCGCCCAAUCUCGUCUGAUCUCGGAAGCUAAGCAGGGUCGGGCCUGGUUAGUACUUGGAUGGGAGAAAAAGACAAAUACCAUAUGAU
ensembl:rRNA 5S_rRNA 5S ribosomal RNA